rnacentral:rRNA from 1 species
UACAGAGGGUGCGAGCGUUGUCCGGAAUCACUGGGCGUAAAGGGCGCGUAGGCGGCUUGAUAAGGUUGCGGUGAAAGCCCGGGGCUCAACCCCGGGUCGGCCGUGGCAACUGUCGAGCUGGAGCACUGUAGAGGCAGGUGGAAUUCCGGGUGUAGCGGUGGAAUGCGUAGAGAUCCGGAAGAACACCGGUGGCGAAGGCGGCCUGCUGGGCAGUGGCUGACGCUGAGGCGCGAAAGCGUGGGGGAGCAAACAGG